UACGGAGGGUGCAAGCGUUAAUCGGAAUUACUGGGCGUAAAGCGCACGCAGGCGGUCUGUCAAGUCGGAUGUGAAAUCCCCGGGCUCAACCUGGGAACUGCAUUCGAAACUGGCAGGCUGGAGUCUUGUAGAGGGGGGUAGAAUUCCAGGUGUAGCGGUGAAAUGCGUAGAGAUCUGGAGGAAUACCGGUGGCGAAGGCGGCCCCCUGGACAAAGACUGACGCUCAGGUGCGAAAGCGUGGGGAGCAAACAGGAUUAGAUACCCUGGUAGUCCACGCCGUAAACGAUGUCGAUUUGGAGGUUGUGCCCUUGAGGCGUGGCUUCCGGAGCUAACGCGUUAAAUCGACCGCCUGGGGAGUACGGCCGCAAGGUUAAAACUCAAAUGAAUUGACGGGGGCCCGCACAAGCGGUGGAGCAUGUGGUUUAAUUCGAUGCAACGCGAAGAACCUUACCUGGUCUUGACAUCCACAGAACUUUCCAGAGAUGGAUUGGUGCCUUCGGGAACUGUGAGACAGGUGCUGCAUGGCUGUCGUCAGCUCGUGUUGUGAAAUGUUGGGUUAAGUCCCG
rnacentral:rRNA from 1 species